AGUCCAAGUGUCACAAUCAGCUGUUGCGCUCAAAAUUUCUCCCGGUUGCCGCCACUGAGCAUGCGCACUUUAUCGAGGAGAGAGCAUCAAAACAUUGUCCAGAUCAUGCUUCACCAUGGUAAAGAUCAGUGGCUCCACCUUAAUCACAUCAGCCGCUGCACAACAAGAGGAAAAUAUUCAGAUUUGGUGGCAGAGCACAAGAAAAGUGGCAUAUGGAAAUCUACUCAAAAUCUUGUGGUUGAAGAUAGCCACAGCCUCUCAGCAUGGCCAGCCUGACCAGCCAUCCCCUAAUAGCACAUCCCCCACCUCACCCCUCACUGAAUCAUGGUGAUGUAAGGGGACUACCGCUAGAGGCACACAUGUCAAGUCAGCAAUGGAUCUCCACAGAGGCUCACUGGAGGUACCAACAGAGGAGGGGCAUAGGCUCACUGGAGACACUGACUGAGAGGAGGGAUAUCACAGGUGCAUAAUAUGUGAGUCUGCUAUGUGUAAACAUACUUCUGGUAUGAGAGGGAAUGUGUAUGUAAGGGAAGAGGCUGUGGAAAGUGACUGUGGGGUUUGUAAACAUACUGUGGGGGACAUCCUGUGGGUCUGUGGAGAGAGAGAGAGAGAGAGAGAGAGAGAGAGAGAGAGAGAGAGAGAGAGAGAGAGAUUCCUUCUGCAGGAUCCUUGGCUUCUGAUUGGUCAGAAAGAACACUGCUGUGCACCUGCACAUUUCCCCUGGUGCCUCCCAGCACCAGGUCACAUGUUGGUUGUUCCAGUAAUGGUUUUGUGUUAUGUGGCUUAGCUUGCUUUGCAUUCAAUACAGACUAUUUCAUUUUUGAUAUCCUGAGUUUUAGCAAAGAUUGCAAAAAUAGCUAAAACAAAUAUUUAAGUUUUUGCAAUUUCUUAAGACUAGAAUAACUGGCAACUUUCAGUAAUGCCCUAUGAUUGCUGUAUUCAGCAGCACACAAAGGCAUUCUGAAUAAAUUACUUCAUCCUAUGGAAGAAAAACUUCCUGAACAUAAUGGUGUGACCAGUGUGUGGAGAAAACAUUGGAGUUAUUCAUAAGAGAAUUUCACACCACCCAAUUGUGUGUAAGUAGAGUCCUUUUAUAAAUACCUGUAUUUUAUUUGAAAUUUUAUCCACAAUCUGAUCACACCGAUGUGUUCUGGAUUUUUUUUUUCUAAAAGAUGAAUUAUUUAAAUUCAGAAUGCCUUCAUGUGCUACUAAAAAUGGCAAUCACAUAAGUAAAAUAUUCUAAAAAUUAUGUUGCAGGUUUCCACUUACAUUCAUCAUAAUUUUAAGCGAAGUUCUGUAAACACAUCUUCAUUCUGCAAGUGUCAGGAUACUAAUUAAAAUUGUCUACCUUGUAUAUAAAACAAGCUAAGGCACAUAAUAAGCCAUACCAAUGGAGCAUGUGAUGUGUAGCCUACCACUGAGUCAGUGAAGGGAAGGUGCAGCCACUCAGUGCUGUACCUUCUUAUUGGACUGAGCCAAGGAUCCAGCUGAAAUAAUCCCAGAGCUUGUGAAAACUGCCUGUGUCAGCCUGGCUUCUUGAAGCUUUUCUUGCAGUCAGUUCGUCUUUUCUUAACACUUUCAUCUAACCUGGUGUUCCUCUUGGUUUCCAUGUGCAAUUUCAAGGGCAGUGAUCUUCAACCUGGCAUCCCUCAAUGUGUUCUCUUCCUUGGAUGUCCCCCUGGUGCAAAGACAGAAGUGUUAGCAUUGGGGAUUAUCAGCUGGGUCAGACAGAAACUUACAAGACUGCAGCAUUGUGGGUCCUCCUCCAACCUUCCAACCUUCCUAGAAGUUUAAGAUGAUGCUCUGGUCUUCCCUCAGUGGUCCUUGGUGGUGUGGUCCUGUCUUCCUGCAGUCCUCAUUGUCAUCCUCCCUUCCUGCAAGACAAUUCCUGGUUAUACAAAAUAAAUAUAAAAGCUAUA